CCAGAGAUGGAUUGGUGCCUUCGGGAACUGUGAGACAGGUGCUGCAUGGCUGUCGUCAGCUCGUGUUGUGAAAUGUUGGGUUAAGUCCCGCAACGAGCGCAACCCUUAUCCUUUGUUGCCAGCGGUUAGGCCGGGAACUCAAAGGAGACUGCCAGUGAUAAACUGGAGGAAGGUGGGGAUGACGUCAAGUCAUCAUGGCCCUUACGACCAGGGCUACACACGUGCUACAAUGGCAUAUACAAAGAGAAGCGACCUCGCGAGAGCAAGCGGACCUCAUAAAGUAUGUCGUAGUCCGGAUUGGAGUCUGCAACUCGACUCCAUGAAGUCGGAAUCGCUAGUAAUCGUAGAUCAGAAUGCUACGGUGAAUACGUUCCCGGGCCUUGUACACACCGCCCGUCACACCAUGGGAGUGGGUUGCAAAAGAAGUAGGUAGCUUAACCUUCGGGAGGGCGCUUACCACUUUGUGAUUCAUGACUGGGGUGAAGUCGUAACAAGGUAACCGUAGGGGAACCUGCGGUUGGAUCACCUCCUUA
rnacentral:rRNA from 2 species